rnacentral:rRNA from 1 species
CGAUCUAAUCGUUGGACUGCGGAGGAUACUGUCCGGCUUGGGGGCGAGAGAGGCCGACGGUAUUUCCGGGGUAGGGGUGAAAUCCUAUAAUCCCGGGAGGACCACCAGUGGCGAAGGCUGUCGGCUAGAGCGCGCUCGACGGUGAGGGAUGAAAGCUGGGGGAGCGAACCGGAUUAGAUACCCGGGUAGUCCCAGCUGUAAACGAUGCAGGCUAGGUGUUAGGGCGGCUACGUGCCGCUCUAGUGCCGCAGGGAAGCUGUUAAGCCUGCCGCCUGGGGAGUACGGCUGCAAGGCUGAAACUUAAAGGAAUUGGCGGGGGAGCACCACAAGGCGUGAAGCUUGCGGUUUAAUUGGAGUCAACGCCGGAAAUCUCACCGGGGGCGACAGCAGGAUGAAAGCCAGAUUAAAGGUCUUGCCAGACGAGCUGAGAGGAGGUGCAUGGCCGUCGCCAGUUCGUGCCGUGAGGUGUCCUGUUAAGUCAGGCAACGAUCGAGACCCGCACCCCCCGUUGCUAUUAGCCUCGAGCUAAGCACACUGGGGAGACCGCCGCCGAUAAGGCGGAGGAAGGAGCGGGCCACGGCAGGUCAGUAUGCCCCGAAUCUCCCGGGCCACACGCGAGCUGCAAUGGCAGGUACAAUGGGUUCCGACCUCGAAAGGGGGAGGCAAUCUCGAAAGCCUGCCGUAGUUGGGAUCGAGGGUUGAAACCCACCCUCGUGAACAUGG